UGAUGCACUGCUAUUUGAUUAAUAUGCAUUGUUGCAUAUGAAAAAUGAGCUGCCUAUAUUCUGUCAAGCCAAUUCAAAGAAUCCUCUAUAAUCCAUGCCCAUUCUUCAGCUGCAAUUACAAAUAGUACUAAAUAUUUUGAUCUCAGAUUCUUGAAAAUUAAAACUUCAACCUUUCAAAACAAAUAAGAAGAAAAAAGGAACAAGCAAAGGAUUAAAGUUAGCAAGGUGAACGUUCAUCAACACCCUUGYCUUUAUAGCGCUGCUCGAAACAAUUAUUCAUGGAAGCUAUUUGCAAAGGAACUCACCCAAGGACAACUAGCAUUCCAUASGUCGUUUCAGAGUCAUUUUCAUCUGUGGUUGCCGUGAUUUGUGUAAUGUGAGUUGCCUUCAUGUCUGAUUCUUGACAUAAUUUCUUGGGAUCCGGAGCAGCAAUACACAAGACAGUUGUGUUUGCAGUGGAUUUCCCCUCAGUUCUGUACAAUUAUAACAAAAUAAACAGACCAGGAAUUCAUUAUUGUACCAAACGGAACUUAUAUGUCACAUGAAAAUUUUCAGCAAUUACAUUUACAAUGAUGAAACUAAAAGUUCAACUUCCUUAAUUUAGAACCAAUCCCAUUUGUAGCUGAAUGCAUUUGUUAGAUUUAAGUAUAAUGCAAAGACUAAGUAACAUAGUUUUAAUGCCUCUCAAGACCACAGUUUAAUUUUAUAUGGAUUUUUUGCUAAGAAAAAUGGCUGUUGUCAUGUACAUAGGCAUAUGUUAUUAAAAAMAUUUAGGCAGUA